rnacentral:rRNA from 1 species
UACGUAGGCAGCAAACGUUGUUCGGAAUUACUGGGCGUAAAGAGUGUGUAGGCGGUUCUGUAAGUUUGGUGUGAAAUCUCCCGGCUCAACUGGGAGGGUGCGCGGAAAACUGGAGGGCUUGAGUAUGGGAGAGGAAAGCGGAAUUCCUGGUGUAGCGGUGAAAUGCGUAGAUAUCAGGAGGAACACCUGCGGUGUAGACGGCUUUCUGGACCAUCACUGACGCUGAGACACGAAAGCGUGGGUAGCAAACAGG